GACAUCUGGAUGGCCAUAAUGCAUUCGAACUUUCAAAGGGUUUGCCAAAACACGCUGUCCCAAGGUGACAAAACUCAUUUCCUGGGCUGACAUAAACCAUGCCAGCGAUGAGACAGAACCAGUAAAAAUGUGUUCCCUGACUCCCAAGAUAGUAGGCUUCCGAAUUCCAUAGUAGCGCCUGUAUUCUUCCAAAAGAUUUCUCAUUUUGAGCGCCUCCUCGAAAUAGUUGUCCUGGUUCAUAUCAAUAGUC
rnacentral:misc_RNA from 1 species